rnacentral:rRNA from 1 species
UAGGGAAUAUUGGACAAUGGGUGCAAGCCUGAUCCAGCCAUGCCGCGUGCAGGAUGACGGUCCUAUGGAUUGUAAACUGCUUUUUGUACAGGAAGAAACAGUUCUACGUGUAGAACCUUGACGGUACUGUAAGAAUAAGGAUCGGCUAACUCCGUGCCAGCAGCCGCGGUAAUACGGAGGAUCCAAGCGUUAUCCGGAAUCAUUGGGUUUAAAGGGUCCGUAGGCGGUUAGAUAAGUCAGUGGUGAAAGCCCAUCGCUCAACGGUGGAACGGCCAUUGAUACUGUCUGACUUGAAUUAUUAGGAAGUAACUAGAAUAUGUAGUGUAGCGGUGAAAUGCUUAGAGAUUACAUGGAAUACCAAUUGCGAAGGCAGGUUACUACUAAUGGAUUGACGCUGAUGGACGAAAGCGUGGGUAGCGAACAGGAUUAGAUACCCGUGUAGUCCCUGAGCGGGCUGGCAAGGCGCAU